rnacentral:lncRNA from 1 species
GUAAAUUGAAGAAGUCAAAGAAAAAGAAAAAGAAAACUUCCAUCUUCCCUUAAUUUUUAAGUCGAAAACUAAGAUUUUUGUUUCCGAGCCCUGUUCCUAUCCUUCUGAACAGGAGUUGCCCAAAGAGAGCAAUUUAAUUGCCCAUAAACGCGGAUCGUUGCACGCCACCAGAUGUUCUUAAAUCGUCCGGUCUUACUGCAUUAGGAACAUUUAUUAACACCAGAGUCCUGUGGCUUGGCAGGUGGAGUACGUAACGGUUGAGGAAAUCCCCGCCUCAAUUGUUGAGAAAGAGAAAGAGAUUGAAGCCAGCAAGGAGGACUUGGCCAACAAGCCAGAGGCUAUUCGCAGCAAGAUAGUGGAGGGUCGCGUCGCCAAGACUUUGAAUGAACUGGCUCUGUUAGAGCAACCAUUCAUCAGGGACGAUAAAAUUUUGGUAAAGGACUAUAUCAAGCAAACUAUUGCUACUCUGGGUGAGAACAUCCAAGUGAGGCGGUUCACCAGGUUCAACUUAGGAGAGGGUAUUGAAAAGAAGAGUACCGAUUUUGCUGCUGAAGUCGCUGCUCAAACUGGGGCCAAGGCUUAAUCAGGUGCGAAGGCUAGCUUGUAGUAAUAGUUUUAGUUAUUUGCCAUAGAGUUCAAAGAUUAGCAGCAACUAUUAA